GAUGAACGCUAGCGGCAGGCCUAACACAUGCAAGUCGAGGGGCAUCGCGGUGCAGCAAUGCACUGGCGGCGACCGGCGUACGGGUGCGUAACGCGUAUGCAACCUGCCCCGCACCGGGGGAUAGCCCGCCGAAAGGCGGAUUAAUACCCCAUGGUCCCGGGGGCCCGCAUGGGCAUCCGGGUAAAGCCUUGGCGGUGCGGGAUGGGCAUGCGUGCCAUUAGCUGGCUGGUGGGGUAACGGCCCACCAGGGCAACGAUGGCUAGGGGGUCUGAGAGGAUGGUCCCCCACACUGGUACUGAGACACGGACCAGACUCCUACGGGAGGCAGCAGUGAGGAAUAUUGGUCAAUGGGCGGAAGCCUGAACCAGCCAUGCCGCGUGCGGGAUGAAGGCCCUACGGGUUGUAAACCGCUUUUCCCCGGGAAGAAUAACCCCGAUGAGUCGGGGGAUGCCGGUACCGGGGAAUAAGGAUCGGCUAACUCCGUG
rnacentral:rRNA from 1 species